GAUGAAGAACGCAGCGAAAUGCGAUAAGUAAUGUGAAUUGCAGAAUUCAGUGAAUCAUCGAAUCUUUGAACGCACAUUGCGCCCGCCAGUAUUCUGGCGGGCAUGCCUGUUCGAGCGUCAUUUCAACCAUCAAGCCCCAGGCUUGUGCUGGGGCCCUGCGGCUGCCCGCAGGCCCUGAAAACCAGUGGCGGGCUCGCUAGUCACACCGAGCGCAGUAGCACAUCUCGCUCAGGGCGUGCGGCGGGCUCCUGCCGUGAAACCCCCCACUGUAACCCCAAAGGUUGACCUCGGAUCAGGUAGGAAUACCCGCUGAACUUAAGCAUAUCAAUAAGCGGAGGA
rnacentral:misc_RNA from 1 species